CCUGUCCCGGGGAUGGCCAGGCAGACAGCCCUCCACCCCAGGUCCCCGGCCUCCGUACAAUUCAGAGGCCACCUCUGCGGAGGGGAGGGCCGUGCGAGGCCGUGCGCCCCCGCGGGCACCUGAGGGGAACGGUGAGAACCCGGGUAGGGGCGAACGAAUGCAGAGAUGGAGUUAAGGGGGAGCCUCUCCUCUGCCUCCAGAUUGGGGAGCCGCAGCGAGAAAGACUUCUUUCUUAGGUUUGGCUAUUGGAAACCUUCUCCCUGCGGAUCCCGUCCAGAGAUGACCCCAGAUUCUGGGAAGCAGGGAGAAGCCCGACACCCCCAUCGCCACCACCCCGUGCAGCCGGGGGGGGGGGGGGCACCCUCUCUGGGGCUUUACUGAAAAUGAGUGCCAGGUGCUUUGACCCAAUGUCAAAGCCAGAUGAGCUGACCAGACAGGGGGGAAGUUUAACCAGAGGAUGCACCAAAAUGCAAUGUCAAGGCAGAAGACCAGCAAAUUCUUUUUUAACCUCUCAAGACCCUUUCCAAGAGUCCCCAGCCUGUCCCAGCUCUCCUCAUCUGCGGCUCUGGAAGCCCAGUGGAGGCCCACGGAGCCAAUGGACACUCACGGGUGCCUAGGCGCAUGCCUCCCGGAUUCGAGGCUGGAGCUGCUUUCUCCCCGACCGGGUUUGAGAGCCUGUGUUCAUUUCACACUCCAGGGAGCAAGGUCUGCUUCUGUGUCCUCCGGAGCUGGGUGCUAGUAGCCAGGCACUUAAUUUUGCCCCAUCUGCUAGCUACCUCCCAUUUUUACACUUCAAUUUAUUUUCCAUAAUUGCUAUGGAGGGGGGAGUUCGGCUGAAAAUCGUUUUCUUUACAAAGCAAAGAGCCAAGAGAAUCAGACUCUCUCCAUCCAGAGGCGGGUCUCGGGGAACAGAAGGCUUUAAACAACGAGGUGGGGAUGUUAAGCUGCAGGGAUGGGCCAUUUGUCACGACACAAAGAUGUGAAUGGAAGUCUGCAUCAUAGAGGAGCAUUUGUGUGAGGAACACUGUGUAGGCAGUAACAACUCCCUGGCAGGGAGGGGCCGAGAUCGCCACUGAUUGAGCACCAACUGUGUACUAGAUGUCGGUGCAGAGAAAUUCUUUGUACCAAGGUGCAGAGAAUUUUAGGUGGUUUUCAAGACGGAGUAGGACCCGUCUAAGCACACUAACCGGCACUAAGCUCGAGGCUGGCCCCCAACAGGUGCUUGAAUAUUCACUGAGCUUGUGUGUCAAUAUCACCCCUCUUUCCUUCAUUCUCUCUGGACCCUGGCCCUCCCUGAUUGGUCCCUGUGCCGCCUUCUUGCCCAUCAAUCCUGGUUUUGCACUUUUCUACCCAGGAUGUGGGAUUGCAGGGUCUGUCCACACCCCAGUCACCUGCAGGCCUUGGCUCACUCUGUUCCCUUUGAAAUGCCCUUGCCCUCCCCUGCUCUGUACUCCUGCUUUACCUAGCACACCACUGCUAACUCAUGUUCAUCUCAAGAGAACCUCCUCCAAACCCCCAACGCCCAGCUGAGUGCCCACCUCCUAUAAUUCCCAUAAUAUAUUCAGCACAAUCUCAUAAUAUCCUAUGAACCCCUAUCUUAAGAUGUCACAUCAUGAUUAUGUUUACUUGGUGGUUUCCCCACGUAAGCUGUGUCGUUGAGAACAGGGGCUCAGUCUCAUUAAUUUCUCUGUCUGAGCACUUAGCACACUGCCUGGCACCAAAUGAGGUCUCAUGUUGAGUGGAUGGAUGGAUGGAUGAUCCAGUAUAGGCCUGAACUCACAAAGCAAAGACCAAAUGACAAAUAGUUGAUCCCCAUGUCCUGGGCUCAAGUCAACUUCUGCAGAGGCAGUAAAAAAAAAUAUUCACAUACCGGCAGCGGGUAAAGCACACAU